AGUAAAGUCGUAACAAGGUCUCCGUUGUGAACCAGCGGAGGGAUCAUUA
rnacentral:rRNA from 1 species